rnacentral:rRNA from 1 species
GGGCUUGACAUCCCACGAACCUGCCUGAAAGGGCGGGGUGCCCGCAAGGGAGCAUGGAGACAGGUGGUGCAUGGCUGUCGUCAGCUCGUGUCGUGAGAUGUUGGGUUAAGUCCCGCAACGAGCGCAACCCUCACCCCUGGUUGCCACCGGGUAAAGCCGAGCACUCGAGGGGAACUGCCAGCGUCAAGCUGGAGGAAGGCGGGGAUGACGUCAAGUCAUCAUGCCCCUUACGCCCUGGGCUACACACGUGCUACAAUGGCCGGUACAAAGGGACGCGAGACCGCGAGGUGGAGCCAAUCCCAAAAAACCGGUCUAAGUUCAGAUUGCAGUCUGCAACUCGACUGCAUGAAGGAGGAAUCGCUAGUAAUCGCGCAUCAGCACGGCGCGGUGAAUACGUUCCCGGGCCUUGUACACACCGCCCGUCACACCACGAAAGCUGUCUGUACUCGAAGUCGCUGAG